GCUUUCGUGGUGUAAUGGUCAGCACAUACGGCGCUUAUUCGAGAGGUCCGGGGUUUGAGUCCCGGCGAGGGCA
rnacentral:tRNA from 1 species